GACGAACGCUGGCGGCGUGCUUAACACACGCAAGUCGAACGGAAAGGCCUCUUUCGGGGGGUACUCGAGUGGCGAACGGGUGAGUAACACGUGAGUAACCUGCCCUUGACUUUGGGAUAACUUCAGGAAACUGGGGCUAAUACCGGAUAGGAGCUCCUGCUUCAUGGUGGGGGUUGGAAAGUUUCGGCGGUUGGGGAUGGACUCGCGGCUUAUCAGCUUGUUGGUGGGGUAGUGGCUUACUAAGGCUUUGACGGGUAGCCGUCCUUAGAGGGUGACCGGCGACACUGGGACUGAGAUACGGCCCAGAUUCCUACGGGAGGAAGCAGUGGGGAAUAUUGAACAAUGGGUGGAAGCCUGAUGCAGCAACGCCGUGUGCGGGAUGACGGCCUUCGGGUUGUAAACCGCUUUCGCUCAUGACGAAGCUUUGUGUGACGGUAGUGGGUAAAGAAGCACCGGCUAACUACGUG
rnacentral:rRNA from 1 species